rnacentral:rRNA from 1 species
AUACCCGCUGAACUUAAGCAUAUCAADAAGC